rnacentral:rRNA from 1 species
GAUGAACGCUGGCGGCGUGCCUAAUACAUGCAAGUCGAGCGAACAGACGAGGAGCUUGCUCCUCUGACGUUAGCGGCGGACGGGUGAGUAACACGUGGAUAACCUACCUAUAAGACUGGGAUAACUUCGGGAAACCGGAGCUAAUACCGGAUAAUAUAUUGAACCGCAUGGUUCAAUAGUGAAAGACGGUUUUGCUGUCGCUUAUAGAUGGAUCCGCGCCGCAUUAGCUAGUUGGUAAGGUAACGGCUUACCAAGGCAACGAUGCGUAGCCGACCUGAGAGGGUGAUCGGCCACACUGGAACUGAGACACGGUCCAGACUCCUACGGGAGGCAGCAGUAGGGAAUCUUCCGCAAUGGGCGAAAGCCUGACGGAGCAACGCCGCGUGAGUGAUGAAAGUCUUCGGAUCGUAAAACUCUGUUAUUAGGGAAGAACAAAUGUGUAAGUAACUAUGCACGUCUUGACGGUACCUAAUCAGAAAGCCACGGCUAACUACGUG